rnacentral:rRNA from 1 species
CCUACGGGAGGCAGCAGUGGGGAAUAUUGCACAAUGGGCGCAAGCCUGAUGCAGCCAUGCCGCGUGUGUGAAGAAGGCCUUCGGGUUGUAAAGCACUUUCAGCGGGGAGGAAGGCGGUGAGGUUAAUAACCUCAUCGAUUGACGUUACCCGCAGAAGAAGCACCGGCUAACUCCGUGCCAGCAGCCGCGGUAAUACGGAGGGUGCAAGCGUUAAUCGGAAUUACUGGGCGUAAAGCGCACGCAGGCGGUCUGUCAGGUCGGAUGUGAAAUCCCCGGGCUCAACCUGGGAACUGCAUUCGAAACUGGCAGGCUAGAGUCUUGUAGAGGGGGGUAGAAUUCCAGGUGUAGCGGUGAAAUGCGUAGAGAUCUGGAGGAAUACCGGUGGCGAAGGCGGCCCCCUGGACAAAGACUGACGCUCAGGUGCGAAAGCGUGGGGAGCAAACAGGAUUAGAUACCCGAGUAGUC